GAUUAAGUUAUUAAGGGCGCACGGUGGAUGCCUUGGCACUAGAAGCCGACGAAGGACGUUACUAACGACGAUAUGCUUUGGGGAGCUGUAAGUAAGCUUUGAUCCAGAGAUUUCCGAAUGGGGAAACCCAGCACGAGUUAUGUCGUGUUAUCUGCAUGUGAAUACAUAGCAUGCAAGAAGGCAGACCCGGAGAACUGAAACAUCUUAGUACCCGGAGGAAGAGAAAGAAAAAUCGAUUCCCUGAGUAGCGGCGAGCGAAACGGGAAGAGCCCAAACCAAUAAGCUUGCUUAUUGGGGUUGUAGGACACUCUGUACGGAGUUACAAAAGAAUUUGUUAGACGAAUAACCUGGAAAGGUUAAUCAGAGAAGGUAAUAAUCCUGUAGUCGAAAACGAAUUCUCUCUUGAGUGGAUCCUGAGUACGACGGAGCACGUGAAAUUCCGUCGGAAUCUGGGAGGACCAUCUCCUAAGGCUAAAUACUCUCUAGUGACCGAUAGUGAACCAGUACCGUGAGGGAAAGGUGAAAAGUACCCCGGAAGGGGAGUGAAAGAGAACUUGAAACCGUGUGCUUACAAGUAGUCAGAGCCCGUUAAUGGGUGAUGGCGUGCCUUUUGUAGAAUGAACCGGCGAGUUACGAUCUGAUGCAAGGUUAAGCAGAAAAUGUGGAGCCGUAGCGAAAGCGAGUCUGAAUAGGGCGAAUGAGUAUUUGGUCGUAGACCCGAAACCAGGUGAUCUACCCUUGGUCAGGUUGAAGUUCAGGUAACACUGAAUGGAGGACCGAACCGACUUACGUUGAAAAGUGAGCGGAUGAACUGAGGGUAGCGGAGAAAUUCCAAUCGAACUUGGAGAUAGCUGGUUCUCUCCGAAAUAGCUUUAGGGCUAGCCUCAAGUGAUGAUUAUUGGAGGUAGAGCACUGUUUGGACGAGGGGCCCCUCUCGGGUUACCGAAUUCAGACAAACUCCGAAUGCCAAAUAAUUUAACUUGGGAGUCAGAAUGUGGGUGAUAAGGUCCAUAUUCGAAAGGGAAACAGCCCAGACCACCAGCUAAGGUCCCAAAAUAUAUGUUAAGUGGAAAAGGAUGUGGCGUUGCCCAGACAACUAGGAUGUUGGCUUAGAAGCAGCCAUCAUUUAAAGAGUGCGUAAUAGCUCACUAGUCGAGUGACACUGCGCCGAAAAUGUACCGGGGCUAAACAUAUUACCGAAGCUGUGGAUUGUCCUUUGGACAAUGGUAGGAGAGCGUUCUAAGGGCGUUGAAGCAUGAUCGCAAGGACAUGUGGAGCGCUUAGAAGUGAGAAUGCCGGUGUGAGUAGCGAAAGACGGGUGAGAAUCCCGUCCACCGAUUGACUAAGGUUUCCAGAGGAAGGCUCGUCCGCUCUGGGUUAGUCGGGUCCUAAGCUGAGGCCGACAGGCGUAGGCGAUGGAUAACAGGUUGAUAUUCCUGUACCACCAUUAUUCGUUUUAAGCGAUGGGGG
rnacentral:rRNA from 1 species